UACGUAGGGCGCAAGCGUUGUCCGGAAUUAUUGGGCGUAAAGAGCUCGUAGGCGGUGUGUCGCGUCGGCCGUGAAAACCUGCAGCUUAACUGUGGGCUUGCGGUCGAUACGGGCAUCACUGGAGUUCGGCAGGGGAGACUGGAAUUCCUGGUGUAGCGGUGAAAUGCGCAGAUAUCAGGAGGAACACCGGUGGCGAAGGCGGGUCUCUGGGCCGAUACUGACGCUGAGGUGCGAAAGCGUGGGGAGCAAACAGG
rnacentral:rRNA from 1 species